CAAAUACUCCCUCCGUCCGGAAAUACUUGUCAUCAAAAUGGAUAAAAGGAAAUGUAUCUAGACGUAUUUUAGUUUUAGAUACAUCUCUUUUUAUCCAUUUUGAUGACAAGUAUUUUCGGAC
rfam:Triticum urartu cultivar G1812 contig564203, whole genome shotgun sequence.